GCAAAGUGGGAAUGCUUUUUCUAGGAGGUUCCAUUAACUGGACGCGUGUCCGUUGUUUGAAUUGUUUGAGUAUCCCAUAUGCUCACUGCCGAGCUUCAUCGUGAAAUUCACCUUCCCCUAACAGACUGACAAAGAUAUUUUUUUUUCUUUUUCUUUUUCGCUUUUCACAUUUUUUUUUGCACCGUUGAAUUUCAUAGAGCAUAUAUAACCAAUUUAAAUUCAAAUAAAAAGGAAAACAGUGACUAAAAAUGAAUGCUUCUUCUAUCUCUUUUUAUGUGGCUACGCUUGAGUAGACAAAGUAUUUUUUUAUCCGUGCAAAGAAAAUAAGAAAAAUAGACUUUUGGUACUUAAAAAGCAUCUUUAUAACUUGUAUUAAAAAUGCUGUGAUAUGACACAAGCAUGAUAACGACAAUAGUAUAGCUAGUGUGUUCUCGGGGUACGAUUUGGGAAGGGUAAGAUGUACACAAACCUUACCCUUAUUUUAUGCUCAGUAAAAAGGCUAUUUUCAAUGAAUCAUCGGCUCGAAAAAACGUUUUCUAGGUUUGAAACCUACAAGAAUAAAAAGUAUUGAUAGCAAUAAUAAAGAUAACAAAAGUAAAACAAAA
rnacentral:lncRNA from 1 species